GUUUGAUAAUAGAUACGAAUUAGAGAGUUGAGCUGAAAUGGUAUUGAUAGUAAACGGACUAUAUUGUCACUAAUUAAUUUGUUUUCGCUAAUGGAGCCUCCAAAUCAACGAUCGGUAUCGUUGAACAUAAUAUAUACCAAUUGAAGUAUUUAGAAAUAAAAUUUUAAUUCUUUUCGAUAUAAUUAACCUAAUGAUUAAAAAAUUUCAGAAUUUAUAAUUUUAAUAGUCGAUAUCAGACGUUUUCUCGUUUAAUAGUUUAAAAAUAUUCAAAUUAAUUGAAUUUUGAUUUGAAAAUUUUUUAAACUAUUUAGAAUAAGAUCUACAUUCUGGAUCUUGAUUACAAGAUUCCUAUCAUCACUUUUUAAAGAAUAUUUGUUUUCAGUCGUUAUUUUUAUGCCCACUUGAUGGACAAAAAAAUAAUAUCGAAAAAGUAUGAAAUUUAAUUUUUAGAUGCUUUAAGUGGUAUAGAUCAUAUUCAACGGUGCCAAUCAUCAAUUUGGAUGCUCCAUCAUUAAAAACAAAUAAAUGACAAUGAAAUCCGUUUGCUACCAGUAGCAUUCCAGUUCAACUCACAAAUUAGAAUGCUAACAUAUAUA
rnacentral:lncRNA from 1 species